rnacentral:lncRNA from 1 species
AGCUACAGGAGUGGAAGGCGCAGCCAAGCAGCCGCUGGUAUUUCUGUGUUGCAUAUGGGCUGGGGUCCCUCCUGUCCUUCUCUCCUACACGAUCCCAGAUCUGAUUUCUAAUGGUGUUGUAUUUCCUCCCUAAAUCAUUUUUCAAUAGUAUUUUUGUUCUUCUGUGGGAUACAGAAGAACUUUUUUUUCCUAUUGCAAUAAGGACAAGUAAACAAGUCAGAAGCCUCAGAAGACCUCAAGAGAGAAAUCACAGCCUUCAAUUCCUGGUCCCUUUCUGAAACCUCAGCUCUUGAUUCACUUAAUUUCAAGGAGAAUUGUUUUAUGACUACGCCAAGCUGACCCAAAGACCCCUGGGAAGCACGUGGCCCAUCAGAGGGAAGGGCUAGGCCCUGGGGCUGGAAAGGAUGCAGAGCCUGUUUUCAACAAUUACGUCUACAUUUUCCAAGAGAUUAAACCGAUUGGAAGCCAAGCAUUGGAGAAGAGAUCUUUUGUCUUCCUUGGCAACAUUUCUGAAAUCUACAGAUAGGGAUGAGGAAGUGAGGCACAUUUUUCAUCUGUUCCAACAAACUGCCAAUGGAAUGGCUGACAUGCCAUUUUAGUGUAUGUCAUCUCUCCCGUGUUCCGUCAUCACUGAGGGUCAGCUGGGCCCUGCCCUUGAAUACAGCACAGGGCUGGUGUCAUGGAGCCGGCCUUCCUUACACUAAUGAACCGCAGGAGCCUCCCCUUGUCCCUUGCCUGGGGGGAACUAAUGGCAUUGCAGGGCAAAGGCUCAGCAGGGACCCUGUAGAUAGAGGAUAGAUCGGCACCCAGGCGUCUUACAGGGUGGACCCCAUGCUGGCAGGGUGGGAAGCCAGAGAAAAGAGGCUUGGAAGAAGCAAAGGGAACUCUCAAGAGGGUGCAGAGAUGAACGUGGCUUGCACCUGGAGAAUUCCCAGCCAAUGUGAGCUUGACGCCCCUCUCCUUUCCACCAAUCAGAUGGCACUACCACCUCCUCCUAAUUCCUCUACCAAUGAAAACUAGGUUCCUUUACCUUAUCCACCAAUCAGGGCUUUGGACAAAGAAUAAUCUUAUCAAACCCCACAUGGAUUCACACGCAUCUGGUAGCUUGGUUGUUGGGUGCUCACUGGGUGGUUCCCCCAGUGCCCCGCUCCUACAGUGACUGCAGCCAGCAGCACCCAGGAGACGGAACCUCCCCGCCCAGCCCGGCGCCCGCCAGCCCUGGUGCCGUUUUUAUAGCAGCAUGCCUCUAGCAAUCAAGACACCUGGCACCUCGGAGGGCCGACUUCCAGAAGGAUUUGCCACAGGGCACCACAACAACUUCUCUGCCAUUCAGAGUCACAGCUGCACAGACUGAUACAAGUAUGGACCCCCUAGAAGGAACAACAAAUGGAGCUGCCGUCUAUAUACACACGUCGAUUUAGGUCUCUGUCUCUGGCAACUGAAAAGAGACCCAACAAAACAUCUUACAGAGCACCAGGGCCAAUUCUUGAUGCGUCGUUAGAUUCUGUGUAGCCAGAAAGCAGAAACAGAAACAUAUCCAAGCCAGGCGGAGGAAAAACUUUGAGGCCUGUUUAUCCAGGUUCAAGACAAUUUCUAUUUAAAAAAAAAAAAAAGAAAAAAAGAGAGAAAAAAAAAGCUCAUAACAGAAUAAGUUCAGCUUCUCCUGAGUGUCAGAGCUAAGAUCUAACGCCUCUGCUGGUUUCCAUGACAACCACCAGCAGCUACAAUCAUGCCGAACCAAGAACCAGAGGAUUCAGUAACUUUACCUUGAUUCUGUGGCCAGAUUAUUGCCAAUUUUAAAAGGAAAUGCAUAGUGAGCCCCUGUCUCUGUUGUGUCUUCAGUUGUCCCUUGAAAUCUGGAUAUCUUGACAAGAGGCCAGGGCCUAUCCUAUCUCAUCUCCCCAAGCUAGUGUCCUUCCCAGAUGAAUUUCUUCUGGCGCUGGUGAGAUUACUUGGUGACCUAGUUCCGACUACACAAGUUAUGCUGUCGUGAUUGCUGGGGGUAAUUGCUCAAAAUAGCUCUCUGAUUUGUUUCAUAAACAGGCUCUGUGGCAGGCUCAUGUCGUUUUUUCCCCAAAGAAGAGAUUCCAGAGACGAGGCCUUCACUGAGAGCUUGCUCCUCUACCUCCUGUGGGUUUCAGGGCUGGGACGGGGGACACAGAGAAUCUGUCUCUCGCGAAUGCCAAGUUGAGGUCCUAGCCUGGCUAGGAACUCUUGCAUUCCCCUUGCCUCGCUGUAGCCUCCCCUGGGAACAGACCUUCCAGGAGGGUCGCACCGAGUGAUGAGACUGUUGCAUGAGGCUCUGCAGUGCUUGGACACAGAACUGCACUGCGGCCUUCCAGAUGCUCAGCUGGAAAACCCCUGAGAACCUGAGGCUUUUCUACAGCACAUUAGAGCUUAUGACUGGAGAGUGUCUACCGCCUGAGGGCAGGGAUGAGAUUUUACCUAUCCUAUUCACCUGCUUAGGUGCCCACUUCAUCC